rnacentral:lncRNA from 1 species
AGCAAACUUCUUAACUGAUUUCGUUAUUUCAGGACCUGCUGUGCUCAAUAGAAACCUCACCCUUUCGAUAACAAUACCUAAUAUGAAACGACCGGUGGUUUGGAAGUGCCAGAAUUAUAAAUAUGAAUGUGACAGGACAUGCGCUGAUGGCCCUGACUAUAAAGUGACUCAUUUAAGAGAUACCUCCACGCUUUGGAUCAAAAAAGUAACUGAGAAAUGUUUGACUUGGAAAUUUGAAGAUGACAACCUUAAUAUUGGAAGAAUUGAUUUGGAGAUAAAGAGUAAGGAAAUGAUUUAUAGUAAUUUCUUUAUUAACCACAGAGGGCUAACUCAAAGCAAAACAUUCGGGAGGGUCCAGUGUGGGUUUUAGCAUGUAAAAAGUCAUACAAAGAAUAAAAGAAAUUCAAAGUAACAUCCCUGAUAGUUUGGGGACUUUGAAGGGCCACACGUAAAGAAAGCCCACAAAAUCCAUGGUCUCCCUGACCACCAGGGUGGAUGCCCUCUCCUGGUCUUUCCUCUCCAAUAUACAGGUACACUCUGAGAGAAGGCCCAUUCACUCAGGUAAUGCUCACCCCUCUCACCCACCUUUCAACAAACUGCUUGGAAGCCAGCACUUACCUCUCCACCUUGAUUUUCCUCUUCAAGUGAAACCUGACAAAGUUUAUUAGGGUUUUGACAAAAUGGCAAUUGCUGGUCUUCAGCCCUUUCAGACAUGUCCACUAUAUGAUCCCCUUUGCCAUGGGCCCCGAGCAGAUAAAUACUGGUUGCCCUUCUUGGUUGAAGGAAAGUAGAGGGGCCAUCUUCACAAUGGACUCAGGUGAUAGUUGUAUAUAAUAAGGGUUUCUUUUAUUUGCCACAAGGGCAAAGGAUGAGGGGGUCAAUACCAAGGUGUGUGUGUGUGGGGGGGUUAUAUUCUCUUUCUCUUUCUCUUUUUACUUGUUUCAGUCAUUUGACUGUGGCCAUGCUGGAGCACCGCCUUUUGUCGAGCAAAUCGACCCCAGGAUUUAUUCUUUGUAAGCCUAGUACUUAUUCUAUCGGUUCUCUUUUGCCAAACCGCUAAUUAACGUGGACGUAGACACACCAGCAUCGGUUAUCAAGCAGUACUGGGAGGACAAACAGACACACAAACACACAUAUAUAUAAUCAUAUAUACGAUGGGAUUCUUUCAGUUUCCGUCUACCAAAUCCACUCACAAGGCUUUAUAUAACCAAGCUCAUGUGUGCAACAUAGUGUUACUGGAAAUUUUGAUGGGGACUUUUCCUUUUAUAUCACUUUGAAAUGGAAUUUGUAUAACAGAAACGAAAGUAUUUUUUAAUAGUUUAGUAUGAAAAUGGUCAAACUUGGGAGAUAUUACUAUUUUUUAUUAAAAACAAAAGGUAUAUAUUUUAUUGUUUGUCAAUUGCAGAUCCGAAACCUGAACUUAGUGGAUCAAGACCCCUCAGAACACUCGAGAUUGUCGAAAUCAUUCUUGGCAUACUCAUCCUUGCUGCAAUCCUUGUCUGACUCUCUUUCUUCUGCUGCAAAUAUUUUAAGAAAUAAACAUUUGUAUAAGAACGCUACAAUUUGUGUUUUUUUAUCUAUAUUUAUCCUCUAAAAGGAAAAAAUAAUUCUAUUUAUCAGAUUAAGACUUUCACUGACUGCAUUGGCAUAGUUGGUUUUUUAAAUAAAUUAUAUCCAUAUUUUAGCAAUAUUUUUUCCAAAACUCUGCUCCGUCUUUUACUGGGAAUUUAAAAAUCUUAAAAGCUAUUAACUGUAUAUUUAUCAAUUUAGGACAACAACUAAUUUCAUUUAUAUAAUUAACAGACAAAACUACAUCAAUACACUAAACUUGAAAUCAAUAAAUUUGAAACCGAAGGAGCUGAAGGGAAAAACACAAACAGAAAAGGUCCACUUUUUAAAAUAUUCUUUCCAGAAAAAGUGAGCGGUAGCAGAUUCAGCAUGGAAAAUUACAUGAAUAUUCCAAAUUUGAAAAUUUUGACUGAAUCUUAGAAUGCAAAAGAAUGUGAUGUGUAUGUGUGUGUGUGGUGUCCCACCAACGUGUGCUAUUCCAAUAUAAUUGCAAUCUACACUUUCUUAAAGGUAUUUCUGAAAAUUUUCAUUUAAAAAUACCCAUUUUUCCAGAAGUUAUGAAGAAACAAAGUCGGUGGGGUACAUUUGCAUAUGUAUACCCAUUGCUUUAGCAUAAAUAUCUUCAAUUAUAAUCAAAGGGUCACUGCUUCCGUAGCCAACGAGAACAAAAUCCUUAAGCAUAGGAAAUGAAGUGUGACCCAUUUCUUCCACCUUUGACAUUUGCCACAGUGAAGUUCUUACCAUUGUUGGCGCCUCGCCUUACAGAAUGGUUCGGUGAUCCCUAUAAGGGUACUUGCUGCACCUCCUGUUUGUGUUUCUUUUGGUUUAGGAUUUGUAUUUUAAUGUGGUAUUGUAUUAUAUGUGUAUCAUGUAAAGACAUGUUAUAUAAGAUAAAAACAACAGAAAAAUAAGCCAACAAAAUCAAAAUAUUUACUUAUUAAAAAAAAUAAAAACUCUUUACAGAAUUUGCAAGAAAAAUACGAGAUGGUAUCAAAAAGUUCUCGGACAAGCUAUGUUUCAUAAAAAUUACUAAUUUACCAAAGUUUUAACAACAUCUCCUGUGAAAUACUCACCUUUCACAGCAAUACACUGGCCCCACAAUUCCUACUGCUUCAGGAAUCUGUCCUGGAAGUUGUUUUCUUUAAGCAAGUCAAGGACCUUUUGCGAUUUUAUUUCCUUUUCUGUAUAAUUGUUUAUUUAUUUUUAUAUCUGAAACGCUGAUUAUUUCUUGCAUAAAAUUAUAAAUUAUUGUCAAGUGUCCAA